CUUCGGAGACUUGAGUUUAGUGCAAUGGCGCCUUCCAGGAAGUUCUUCAUGGGGGGCAACUGGAAGAUGAACAGGAGGAAGAAGUGCCUGCAAGAACUCAUCUGCACCCUGAAGGCAGCCCAGUGUGCCGGCAGGCACCGAGUUGGUCUGUGCACCGCCAACCGCCUAAUCGACCUCGCCGGGCAGAAGCUGGAUCCCAACAUUGCUGUGGCUGCACAGAACUGCUACAAAGUGACCAAUGCGGCCUUCUGGGGAAAUCAGCUCUGGCAUGAUGAAAGACUUAGGAGCCACCUGGGUCAUGCUGGGGCACUCGGAAAGAAGAAUUGUCUUUGGGGAGCCAAACAAGUUGAUUGGGCAGAAAAUGAACCAUGCCGUAGGAGGACUCGGAGUGACCGCCUGCAUCGGGAGAAGCUAGACGAAAGGGAAGCUGGCAUCACUGAGAAGACUGUUUUUGAGCAAACCAAGGUCAUCGCAGAUAAUUUGAAGGACUGGAGCAAGGUAGUCCUGGCCUAUGAACCUGUAUGGGCCAUUGGGCCUGGCAAGACUGCAACCCUUCAACAGGCCCAGGAAGUACAUGAGAAGCUCCGGGGAUGGCUGAAAUCCAAUGUCUCUGGUGGGGUGGCUCAGGGCAUCUGUAUCAUUUAUGGAGGGUCUAUGACUGAAGCAACCUGCAAAGAGCUGGCAAGCCUGCCUGAUAUGGAUGGCUUCCUCGUGGGUGGUGCAUCUCUCAAGCCUGAAUUUGUGGACAUCAUCAAUGCCAAACAAUGAGCACUCCCCAUCCCUCUACCUGCCUGCAUAGCAUGGACUAUGUUGCCCAGAAGUUUAGUAACUGCUCCCAUCAGUCACAUGCUUCUGAUGACAUCAUCUGCCCCAUCUUGUGGCCUAAUCCACACUGUACCUUCCUGAG